UCCAAAUUUGAUGAAAAUGAUAAACCACAAAAAACCCUUCUAAAAUUUAAGAAACUCAAUGAAGCCCAAGAACAAGAAACUUGAAGAAAACUAUAUCAAAGCACAUCACAAUCAAAUUGCUUAAAGCCAGUGAUUCAAAAAAAUCUUAAAAGCAGCCAAGGGAGUGAUGGACAGGGCAGGGAAUCAUGUUAUGUACAAAGGAACAAAGAUUAAACAUAGCAACACAUUUAUUGUCAGAAAUAAUGGAAGCAAGAAGGCAAUAGAGCAACAUCAUUAAAGUACUGAAAGAAAAACUCUUAACCAAGAUUCCUGUACCGAGUGAAAAUAUCUUUCAAAAAUGAAAGAGAAACCAAAGCUUUUUCAGACAUACAAAAGGUGACAGAAAGUAUGGCCAAUGGACUCCCACUACAAGAAAUGUUAAAGGAAGCCCUCCAGCAAAAGAGAAAGGAAAACAGAUGGAAACUUGGAUCUCCAGCAAGAAAUGAAGAACACAAGAAAUGCACGGGGAGCUGACAGCCCACCCGUAGGCUCCACUGAAUCACACUUCCAGGGCACAGAGCAAUGUUUCGGAGAAGACAACUUGGCUUCAGGAAUGAAUGCUGUGCAGUAGCCUUUUAUGGAAGCGACCAAGUGGACUGCAUCUCCAUUCCAUGGGAUUUCAGUCCAUGUGAGGAAGUGAGCACGGGGAUUAAAGGAGAUGAUACAACACCAGGCACACAGUUAUGGCUUAAGAGUUGG